rnacentral:rRNA from 1 species
AUGUCACUGCUCACAAUGUCGUCCGGUAGCCAUGGCAGCUCUGCCUCUUCUCGUUUCCGGAGCGGAGGUACCUCUCCCAUCCCAUACCGCGUGCACCCCAUGGAUUACGAGCCUGCCGUUAACUGCUACUGCAGCCGAAAGGCUUCGCUCCUAACCUCGUGGACCGACGCCAAUCCCGGCCGGAGGUACCUGUGCUGUUCACGGGCGACGCAGAGAUGCGGGUUCUGGCGCUGGUUUGACCCGAGGGCUAGCUCUACCUUAGGCAGCUACUCCUCGAUCUGCGAAGCGAGAUCGUUCGCAUGGACGGCGAGAACGCACUGCUGCACAUGUCUCUGGAGCAAGCCCCGUGCAAAGCAAGGCGCCGACAGAGCUUCAGCUCGCGGCUCGUUGCGAUUCUAA